rnacentral:lncRNA from 1 species
GGUAGCAUCCGGCCUGGAAAGAAUGCCAGGGUGUUGGAUCCCAAGGCCUUGAACGAAGUGGCAGGGAAAGAGCUCCCAAUAACAGGGCCAGAUGGAUUCUUUAAAUGUGGGCAAAUACACAGUUGCAUUCCUAGUGGAACAGAAAGCAUUAAGUACCAGACCUUUGUCCCCUUAUCUACAAGGCUUCAGGUGUCAACUGCAUCUGGAUUUUUGCUGCACAGCCAUCCUAAUUUUUUGGAGAAAACAGUUUUGCUCCUUCUUAUCAUACUAAGGUUGCCCAUUCCCUUUGACCCAUUAUUUUUACUUCAGACAUCUUGUGGCCAUACUUGAGCAUGUAUGAAAGAGCAACUACUGUGAUUAUCAUCACAGUGUUUCUUAUAAUAAUACUAAGGAGAGAAAUUGAUGUAAAACUCAAUGGAAAGUUUUCUGGUUGUUAUUAACAGAAUACACACUAUGCAGCGAUUAAAGAAAAUGAAGAGGGCUGGAGAGAUUGUACAGUAGUCAAGACCACUGGCUACUCUUCUACAAGACCUGGGUUUAAUUUUCAGCACCCAUGUGACAGCUUACAACUCAAGCCCCAGGGACUACCCCUCCUGGCCUCUAGGGUACCAGCAUGCACAUGGUGCACAGACAUACAUACAUACAGGCAAAAGACUAAUACACAAAAAUAAAAUAAACCAAUUUUUUAAAUAUCAUAAAGAGUAAGAAGGGGCUAUGAGUGUAAUUUGGCUGGUAGAGUACUUGCCUAGCAUGCAUAUAGCCCAGGCUUGAUCACCUGGCACCGCAUAAAGUGGGUGGACACCUGGAACACACAUGCAGUCUCAGCACUGUGGAGGUAGACAUAGGCAGAUCAGAAAUUCAAAGGCAUCCUCAGCGACAUAGGGAGUUGACCAGUAAGGAUUUCACUGGACCCAGUCUCAAAAUUGAGUAAGAGUUGAAAAGAUACUUGUAUAGCAUAAAACCUAUGAGAGAUUCAUGAGUCAGUAAUACAAUGAGAUAAGUUAUGCUUUCUAAGGAAGGAUGCAUAGAGACAUUUCAAAGGAGAAGAAACAAAUCUCCAUUAAAUGUUUGCAAGUAUGUUCAAACUCACUGGGUUUUAGGGCAAUAUUAAAUCAAAUUAUAGAGUGUUAGUUUGCCCACAUUAGCUUAGUUU